ACCCAGGAACCGUGAGAUCAUGACCUGAUCAGAAGUCAGACGCUGAACCAACUGAACCCCCCAGGUGUUCCACUUCACUUUUUAACUUGACUUUGUAAAGGCCCUAUUUCCAAAUAGGGUCACAUUCUGAAGUACUAGAGGUUAGGACUUCAAAAUAUCUUUUUUGAAGGGACACAAUUCAACCCAUAACAGUCUCCAUCCCGCCAAGCUAGUGGGAAACCGUUAGCUCCCUCUUCACCACACCCAUAUCCUCCAGCCUGGGACUGAGCUGCUGAUGUUUUUGGCCAAACCCGAGGACCUGGGAGAGCCCUUUGUCUUAAGUCUUAUUUGCUGCAUGGUGCCCAAGCUUGCAUGGUGUCUCCAAGUCAGCAGCCAGCCAGCCAUGCUUUGCCUGGAAGCCCCAAACCCCUUGCCUCACUGGCAACUCCGGUGUCCAGAGAGUUGGCUGGGUAAUAUGGCACCCUACAUAAGUAUCCUUUCUGAAUAUCGCCACUUCACCAGGGACCUGAGGGCUUGCUAGUCUUGACCCUAUUCACCUUUUUCCUUUCCCUUCUCGAAGCCCGUAAAGGGAUCCCCUCAAGCAGUUCCAAAAGAAACAGAGCCACUGACAUUAGAUUUAUCACCAAACCUUCCCUGAGGAGAGGCCACUCAGAGCCUGCUUACUUCCAUAAAAUGGAGGGAGAGAAAAAGAUGAAUAACAAAGCUUGUAUAUCAGUGCCUUGUCCUGCCAUGCUUCUAACAGUGAGCCCAACAGAUAAGCCACAGGCCAGGUCACCAAGAGAGGCCACGCUGGCUGGAACCUCAGACCUGAACAUGGCCUCCUUCUCCUCCACACUCAGUUCCAAGGCACUUGCCUACCUGAGCAGGUGUUGCUGGGACCUGCGGGUGACUCGGUGUGAAUGAGUUUUGCUGGGAUUGAGAGGACAUUGGGAAUGAGAUGACAAAGUCAGAGUCAUCUACUGGGAAUUGGACACAGAGCCCAGAGCAAGAACCAGAAGGGCACAGUUUGAGAAGAAAUUGAGGGGUCCAUAGUCUCUCCUGAAGGAGAAAAGAAGUGACCACAUGCUUGGGCAGAGGCUCUGUGGUAUAAGAAAUGUAUUUGGCCUUUGUCUUCAUUCCUGACACAGAACUCCUAAAAUCCUGGAAUUUCCUGAGUGGUAGGGAUGUCUUCUGUUAUCCCUGAAGAGCUCUUUCUGAUCACACCUUGGUUUAUGCUACUAGGGUGACUUGGAAUGCAGUUCCUAGAUUGCCAAGGGAUAUUUUGGGUCCUAGAAAGACCCAGGAUGGGGCUGGUCACUAGAAAACCAAGUGGUUAGAUAGUCGGAACUCCCAGCCCCACCUAGCAGCCACCAUGAAGAGUAGUAGGGGCUGGAGAUUAAGCUCUGUAAAAACUCUUGAUGUGAGAGAUUUGGUGAACUUCUGGAUUGGGGCGCGUGUGUGCACACGCACACACACACACACACACACACACACGAAGUGCUGGGGUAGUGUCAUGCACAGAGGGGCCACGGAAGCCCCACACCCCAGCCCCCGCACUUUGCUCUGUGUGUCUCCUCCACCUGGCUGUUUCUGGCUGUUCCUUUAUAAUAAACCUGGUAAACAGAAGUGUUAACCUGAGAUCCAUGAGCAGUUCUAGCAAACCAUCCAACCUGAGGAGGGGGGCUGUAGGAACCCCUGAUUCAUAGCCGGUUGGCCAGAAGUAUGGGUAGUCUAGGACUUUUGACUGGUGUCUGAAGUGGGGCAGUCUUGGGACUGAGCCCUUAAAUGUGUAGAAUCUGCCACAGACUUCAGGUAGUCGGUGUCAGACUUGAAUUCAACAUUAGGGCACUCGAUGUCCAGAGAUUUGGGGAUGUCGUUGAUAUGGGAAAAAAAACUCCACAGGUGUUGUCAGAGUUCUGAGUAAAAAUAGUCCAGAGUCAUCCUGACCCCAGAAGGCCAAGAGGAGCAGACUGGUGGAUUGAGGUGUCCCUGUGCUUGAGAUAGAGAACAGAGGACAGAGAAGGUCCCCCUGGGGCUCCUAGGGCCCUGAGGGCCCUUGUCACUUAGGUCCACAGGGCCAGAGACUCCUUUGUCUUUCACCACCUGUGAGAUUUCCUGUCACUAAGGAGACUCGCCAAUGACACCCACAGAGAAUGGUAGGUCCACAUGAGGCCACCCGGCGGGGACAGGAUGGAAAGCAGAACCAUGGGGACACUUGUGCAGAGUCACACAAUGGCUGCAGGAGACCAAAGAGUGCCUGAUAAGAGGGGCUCUUCUGCUGAGAGACGCCACCAUGCACUCAAAGAUCUCAAACCCAGAAAAUACGACAGAUGUUUCCUUCAGUGAUUCUCAGCUGGGUGAUCGCUGGAGUGCCAAGGGUUGAAGCAUGUCUUUCUUCCCCCCGACUCUCAAGAUGCCUGGGCAGCCACUUGGGAUCAUCACCCUUUCUUAGAGCCCCCUGGUGCCUGGUGGGAGAGCCAUGCCUCUCAGGCGUGUUGGGACGGCAAAAUGAUUGAGAACCAAGGCGCAAGUGGAUGAUCUCAGCGACUUCCAAAAUGGAUGGGGGUAUGGCUUUCCCAAGGCUCCAGGAGAAAUAGAAUCCCAGGAAACCUACCUGUGGGGGUACAAGUAUUCUGAACCAAGGUCUCUGUUUGGUGUGAGUCUUCCGAAACAACCUGAGACUAUUGCAUAUUCCAAGAUACUAAGUUUAAGCCCACUUAAAAAAAAUCUGUAGGUUGCCAGAGUUUUCAUUGUCCUGCAUGUAUUUUACAGAAUAUUUUCUCUCUUCUUAAUAACACCUUUUUGUACUAACGUCUAGGAAGAUAACUCCGAGGUGGUGUAAGCAGCGCUGCUCAGAUUUCCACGUGCGUGUGAAUCACCCGAGGAUCCUGUUAAAAUGCAGAUUCUGAUUCAGAAGGUGAAGGGAGAACGUUCAACCAGUGCGUGAUCCUUCUAACCUCAGUCAGAGUCCUCCUGAACGUGGGGCCCCAUAGCACCGUCCGGUCACACACCGACGAGGCCGGCACUUUUCCCAGGUGAUGCCGAAAUGAGCCAGUCUGUAAAACCGGACUCUUCCUUAGACUCCGAGUUCUCAAUAUGGCAGCUCUGACCUGAAUUCCAUCAAGAGAAGUUAGUUCCUCCCGCACCCAAAAUCUCUCACUGUAAGGUGGUCUGGAGAUGAGAGGCCUCAGGUAUCCAACAGUGCGCGACGGUACAAGGUCCACAUCUACUUACACCUGUCUUCAGAAUUUACUGAUUUGGCGAGACGGUAAACAAGUGAUUCAUAAACCACAGGGCGCUGUACAAAUAUUGGCCCCUCUACCGUAAGACGCCUUCAACUUGCAACUCGGUGAGAGAAACUGACGCGAGGCCCUCUGGUGCCUUCCUAUGUGUCAGUCCCCAAGUUCAAGCCAGCUCGGCUAUUGUAGAUCCCUGAAAUUCCGUUUAAGUGAAAACCAGAGAGAGAGGAUCCAGGGCGGGCGAAGAAACCGUGAUGAGGAUCUUCAGUGCUUCCGGGAGGCACUGAAAUGUGAAAUAAUUAACCUUUGGAAAGCCUGCGUGGUGACUUGGUAUUUUUCCACCCCACUGAGGCUAAAAGGUUAAUUAAUUUUCCCUGUGUGUAAGAACCAGCCCUACAAUUUAGAAGUGAUGGCCGGAUGCCCCUACCUCCUGAGCAGCAGUGGGAUGGGGGUAUUCUCUUUGUGGGGGUCACCCACCCACAGGGCCGGAGCUCCGGGAGAGGCUCCCAUUCCCUCUCACCCUUUACCUUUGGCCCCCAUGGGUGCCUCUGUGGUGUUCUGCCAGAGGUGCCUUCGGGGACCUGCUCCGGGCCCCAUCUGUCUUCCUGCUGGUGACCUCUGUGGGUGCCCCUCCGGGGCUGGUGUUGUUUUCCGGUUUGGCCUCGUCAGCGUCACCACCCACCCUCACAGACGUGGAAUUUCGGAGAAGUGCCCAUUUACCAGGGAUGUGGCCUCGCCCUCCGGGCCAGCUGGCUCAGUGCCAGGACAGCCCUGCCAGGAUGGUCCUCUCUGUUCUGAAAGGAGGCCCCAGAGGUGGAUGCAUCUGUCAGAGCUUGUUCUUUUACGAAUAAUUAGUGCUCUGGUUUUCAGUUUACUGUGAAAUGUGGUGCUGGAGUCCGUUCCUCACCCGGAGUUGAUAAAAGAACUCUCCAUCUUCUUCUCUUGUCCCUCGAUAACUGUGAUUGUCCGCCCGACUGCACAACAGAAUCACUCAGGGUGCUUUAGAAGAUACUCAUGUGUGGGGCGCCUAGGGGGCUCACUCAGCGAAGCAUCUGACUUCAGCUUAGGUCCUGACCGCAUGGUUUCGUGGGUUCAAGCCCUGCAUCGGGCUCUGCGUUGACAGUGUGGAC